CCUGUUCGAGCGUCAUUUCAACCCUCAAGCACUGCUUGGUGUUGGAUGCCAUCACUUGUGGUGCAUCCCAAAAGCAUUGGCGGCAGCGUCCAGCUUCUAGCGUAGUAAUCUUCUCGCUCUGGAGUGUGGACGCUUAGCUGCCAGAACCCUCUUUUUCAAAGGUUGACCUCGGAUCAGGUAGGGAUACCCGCUGAACUUAA
rnacentral:misc_RNA from 1 species